rnacentral:rRNA from 1 species
AUUGAACGCUGGCGGCAGGCCUAACACAUGCAAGUCGAGCGGAUGAAGGGAGCUUGCUCCUGGAUUCAGCGGCGGACGGGUGAGUAAUGCCUAGGAAUCUGCCUGGUAGUGGGGGAUAACGUCCGGAAACGGGCGCUAAUACCGCAUACGUCCUGAGGGAGAAAGUGGGGGAUCUUCGGACCUCACGCUAUCAGAUGAGCCUAGGUCGGAUUAGCUAGUUGGCGGGGUAAAGGCCGACCAAGGCGACGAUCCGUAACUGGUCUGAGAGGAUGAUCAGUCACACUGGAACUGAGACACGGUCCAGACUCCUACGGGAGGCAGCAGUGGGGAAUAUUGGACAAUGGGCGAAAGCCUGAUCCAGCCAUGCCGCGUGUGUGAAGAAGGUCUUCGGAUUGUAAAGCACUUUAAGUUGGGAGGAAGGGCAGUAAGUUAAUACCUUGCUGUUUUGACGUUACCAACAGAAUAAGCACCGGCUAACUUCGUG